AUGAAAACUGCGCUUCCUCAGAUGCAGCACUUUUCAAUGUUCCGACGCGUGAAGAAGUUUUUCUCCCGGUGUGUGGGAGGGGAGAAGAACUUGGUCGCUGUUCGGGGUACUGUGCAGGAGCGUCAGUUCACCCUGGACUCGUUUUUUGAG